UUAUCUUUUUGUUUUUCAGAUCAUUAUUCUAGGCACAAUCAUUGAGAUCAAGCCAGGAGAAAAUAAAUUGAUAAUGAGAAGCAAUUGAUAAUCUGGCAACCAAUACAAGUGCUCCAAUGGAAGUAGAAGAUUUGGUGAAGGUGAUGUUCGAGGAAUUGCCUGUGAAUGCAGUACCUGAGGGAGAGGAAAUCCAACUAUUGUCAUCAAUAUCAGAGGAAGAAAAAAGUGAUGAAGUGGGCAUAGUUGGAGAAAAAGGGUGAGGAAGGCAUGUCUUAAACUUUGCACUUGCCCAAGAUAUUAAAAGCAGGGCAGACUAUGUAAAGUACUGAUCAUCAAAGGAAAAAGAUGAAGCCGUCGGGGUUGAGAUUAUACUGCUCUUUCUUCUCAUCAGAUUUGGAAGGAAUAACUCAUGCUCGGAAAUUACAUUCCAAUUUCAUGGGAGAUGUGGUGACCGCAACCAUUGUUGUUCUGGAUCAGACGGCCAGGUGGGCCCUAGCUAGGAGAACGAUGGCAAACCGAAGCUAAACUCUAGAUUGCACAGGGCCAAAUAAAUAAAAAAUGCAUAAAAACAUUUACACAUCUGCUUGCUGUUCUCCAAGUUCUUAUGACAAGCUUAGUUGCUGGGAAGAAUCAUCUUAAACAAGUGCGUGAUUUAGCCUAUGAAAUAGAGGAUGCAAUUGAAGAGUUUAUGCUUGAGGUACCUGAUCACUCUCAUGAACAUAAAAUCUCUCAAUUUCUUCAUGAUGUGGCUCACUCUGUAAAUGACAAGAAACCCGUCGCUCGGUUCUCUUGCAUGGAGACUAUCAAAGCCAAGAUAAAGGAUAUAAAAUUUUUAGAUGCUUUUCGCAUACUUCCCCUGAACAUGCCUUGAGUAGUUCUGGCACAGUUUGGUAUCCCGAAGCCAUGGUUGAUGAAUUAGUAGUCAUUGAGAAACGUAGAAUUUAACUUCUUGAUCUCAUAAAAAUGGGAGAACCAGGGAAGAUGCUGGUUUCACUGGUUGGACUUCGUGGCUCAGGUAAAACCACUCUCAUCAAGGAAGUUUAUGGAAAGCUGAAGGAAGAUUUUGAGUGUCUGCUUUGCUUUCAGUUCCUGACCCUGUGCCUGUGGAGGUUGUAUCAGAUAAGAUUUGUGCAGCAAUCAAGAUACCAGUUCCCAAAGGAGCAGAUGCAAACCAGAAGCUGCAUUCAUACUUAUAGCAAAAGAGGUACAUUAUUUUUUUAGAUGGAAUUUGGAGCAAUGAUGAGCGGAAUCAUAUUCAGCGUGCUCUACCUGAUGGUCGCCCUGGUAGUAGGACAAUUAUUUCCACACGGAAAGGUGAUGUAGCUUCUUAUUGUGUAAAGCCUUGGAAUCACAUGUACUCUCUCGAAGCUCUAACACGGGAUGAGGGAUGGGAACUUUCUGUUAUAAGGCCUUCUGAGGAAAUAAUUGCCCUGAACGCUUGGUUGGCUGUCCUGUGCAUAUCUUCACAUGGUGUGAACGAUUGCCAUUAGCAGUAGUUGCUGCAGCCAACAUUUUGUCAAAUAAGUGGCAAACUACAUCAGAAUUUGACAAAAUUGCAUAAUAGCUUAGGUCAUGAGCUAGGAAGCAGUGACCAUUUAUCAUUCCUGCAAAAGAUAUUACAACAAAGUUACUUCCAUCUUUCCUAUAAUCUCAGACGCUGCUUCUUGUACUUUUGCAAUUUCCCAGAGGAUCGUUCUGUUCCAUGAGGAAGACUGGCUAACUUGUGGAUAGCUGAACAUUUUGUUGAGGAGAGAAGAACAAGACAACGGAGGAUAUGGCUAAUGAAUACCUCAAUGUCAUUCAAAUGAAAUUAGUUCAUGCAAUUCAAAGGGAUCGUCAAGGGCUAGUAAGAAGUUGCUGGGUUCAAACUCUUGCGCGAGAGGUUAUCAUCUCCAAGUCCGAGGAAGAUAACUGAAGCCAGGUUUUCACAGAAAGAAACAGAAUUAUAGCUGAUCAGCCUCCUAGAUGCUUAUCUAUCGACAAUUUUCACAACAAAUCGUUACCUGCAGGGACGGACUUAUCUCGUUUUCGUACCCUCAUCUCAUUUGGGGGAGAGAGUUGUAAUCAAUUAUUGUCUGGAAAGCCACUUGACAGCUUUAGGUUUAGAUCUGGAAGAUGCAGCUUUGGAAUGUUUUCCACAUGAGAUAGAUGCUCGCACACUCUUAGGUACCUAAGUUUGAGAAAUACAAAGAUCCAAACAGUUCCAAGAUCUGGUAAGAAGCUCCUAAACCUCUUGACUUUGGACCUUUGACAAACAUGUGUCAAGAAGUUGCCCAAGAAGAUCCGUAAACUUCGCAAGUUGGUCUACCUCUUUGUUGACUCGAUCAAUGUGAAUCAAGCUCAUGUAAGGGCAGAGAUGCCUCCAGGAAUUGGAAGUUUAGAAUCCCUACAGAAGCUGUCACUUCUCAAGGCAAGCAAGAAGAUUAUUAGAGAGUUGGGAAACUCGGUUCAGCUGAGGAAACUGGGGAUCACAAAGCUUGAAAGUGGUCAUGGAAGGGAUUUGUGUGCAUCAAUUCAAAACAUGGAGGAUCUUUCCUCUUUACAUGUGUCAUCAACAAAUGAAGAGGAAUUUCUUGCGCUGGAUGAUGUUAGUAGAUCUCCUCGUCUCCCUUGUAGUUUAUAUUUGGGAGUUCGUUUACAGUACAUUCCUCAAUGGAUUAGCUCCGUACACAGUCUCGCUAAGAUAUGUCUUAAAGGGUCAAAAUUGUUGAACUGCCCUCUUGAGGCUAUUCAAGCUUUGCCUUCGUCACUGGAGCUUCAAUUGGUUGAUGUGUAUAUUGGGGAAGAGUUAAAAUUCAAGUCCAAUCGGUUUCAGAAGCUGGUGAUAUUAGAGAUCGAACAAUUCAAUGAAUUACGCAAGGUUGUCGUGGAGGAAUAAGCUCUUCCUGAACUUCAGAAGCUAGUUUUAGGAAAAUGUAUGAAAUUGAACAAGGCCCCGGAAGGAAUUCACAAGCUCAUCUAAUUGGAAGAAAUUCUUCUGCAUGGUAUGCCCGAGCAUGAGAAUAGACCCUUAGUCAUAAUAAACGAUCUUUGGAGGCUCGUCACAUCAAAGUCAGUGCUGAUUAAUUCUCUUCCACGCAUAGCCAGUAGCAUGCUGCCAUUGCUAAAUCUUACAUUUCGUCUUUGAUAAAGUAUCUACACAGUCGUGAGAAUAAACUGAUGAAUCGACUUCCGAAUUCAUCAAUCAGGCAAUGGCUAUUUCUUGUCAAUGUGAUACUUGCUAUGAGAAUGUAAUAUCUACUGUAAUAUUGCUAGCAAAUUUGUCAAUGUGUUACUUGUUACAUUGUCCAGGUAAUUUGUAGUAUGAUGGGAUCAGGUAUCAAGACAAAGAGUUAACAUUUAAAUUCACCUGUAAUAUGAACUGAGAGUGUCUUGCUUCUGAUGUUAUAGUUGUGUUUGUAAUUUAUAUCCACUAUGUUGUUCCUUGAGGAAUCAUGCAUUUUGAGAUAGUGUUUGGUUGUAAAUUAAA